UGGUUCAUUUUCAUGUACAAGGCAAAGGUUUUAGAAACUUUUUAUCAUUCUGUAAUAGGGUAAUAAAUGUGAAAGGAAAUUUAGAAAGAUGUUUGAUUACCAAAUAAGGAGGAAAAAGUCUGUAUUACAUUUUGUAUUAUUUCUCUUUCUUUCUUUUUUGUUUUUUGGUACAGGGUAUUGAACUCAGGACCUUGAACUUUUGAGGCAGGUGAGGUGCCACUGAGCUAAAUCCCCAGCCCAGUAUUAUUUCUAAAUUCAGUGGGAAUUGAGUAAAGCUAAAGUAGGUGGAGCACUUGCAAGGAGUACUAAAUGCUUUAUUUAGAAUAAGAUGUAAUGAAUAGUUCAUGGAUAGUAUAACUGGUAAAAAUCUAAAAGCAAAACAAAAAUCUGAAAGCAAAAUACUUCUUCAUAGCCAUAAAUUGUUUUUGGGGACACACUUUGGUGCAUUAAGAAUUAUUCUGAAAAAAAAAAAAAGAAUUAUUCUGAGCUAGAUGCGGUGGCCUAUGAACUUUAGGAGGCUGAGGCAGGAGGACUGUAAGUUCAAACACAGCAUAGGCUACGUUCAACUUAGCAAGUUCAUGUCUCAGAAUUAAAAACUAAAAAGAACUGGGGAUGUAGCUCAGUGCAGAGGGCCUGGGUUCAAUCCCCAUAUUGUGAUACAUAAACAAAUAAAUAAAUACAUUCAGUACUGAGGAUGUAGCUCAGUGGUAGAGGUUUUGCUGAGCAUGCCCACAGCUCCGGGUUCUAUCGUCAGUAUCAGUAACAACAGCAACAACAACAACUAUUCUUUUCUCAAAUGACACAAAACCUCCUGGUUUACAUCUUUCUUUUUUCUUUUUUUGAGACAGGAUCUCACUAUGUAGCCCAGCCUGGCCUUGAACCCUUGAACUCCUGGCGAUCCUCCUGCCUCAGCCUCCUGGGUGCUGGGAUCACAGGUGUGUGCCACCACAAACAGCUGGUUUACAUCUUAAAUAUUCAUGAUCUUAUUUUGUGAUGUGCAGUCCCAGAAACAAAAGUCUUCAGCAACAACCAACAUUCUUCCCAGUUAGUUUAGUAAUUUGUGGGAUAUUUCGAAAAGGUUGCUUCAUUCUGUUGCACGUGAGAUUAGACAGAAAACUAUGCAGAACUGAGACAUGGAGAUUUUGUCUUUAUUUUUUUAACUGCUAAAGCCACAUUUUACACUGUUUACAUGUAACAAAGGAAAUUCAAUGCCAGUGUGGUGGCACAAGCCUGUAAUCCCAGCACUUGGGAGGCUGAGCAUGCACCACCACAUCUGGCUGACACCCCCGCUCCCGGAAUUGAACUCACAACCUUGUGGUUCCGAGGCAGGCAUGGGGCUACUGAGCUAAAUCCCCAGUCCACUGGCCGACUUUUUUUGAGCAAGGGAUAUUUACAAAUGCGUAACCCAAUUUCCAUAUAUUUGUGGAAUUUUCAGAUGUUAUUAGUCUAAUUUCCUUGGGUCUGAGUCCAUAUCUUGUAUAAUUUCAAUCAUAACUGUACUGAAUGAAUCCCUCUAGUAUUACAAAAUGUGUCUCUUUAUUACAAGUCUUUGUUGAGAAAUUUACAUUUAAUAUAACUAUCAAUAUCAGUUAAUUUUAUCACAUUAUUUCCAUUGGUUCCAAUGCUUUGUUCCUUUUAAACUCCUUCCUAUCUUCUUUGCAAUAAGUCUUCUAAAGGAUUCCAU
rnacentral:lncRNA from 1 species